CAUGCAAGUCGAACGAUGAAGCUGGUGCUUGCACUGGUGGAUUAGUGGCGAACGGGUGAGUAUCACGUGAGUAACCUUCCCUUGACUCUGGGAUAAGCCCGGGAAACUGGGUCUAAUACCGGAUAUGACCGGCCUCCGCAUGGGGUGCUGGUGGAAAGCUUUUGCGGUUUUGGAUGGACUCGCGGCCUAUCAGUUUGUUGGUGAGGUAAUGGCUUACCAAGGCGAUGACGGGUAGCCGGCCUGAGAGGGUGACCGGCCACACUGGGACUGAGACACGGCCCAGACUCCUACGGGAGGCAGCAGUGGGGAAUAUUGCACAAUGGGCGCAAGCCUGAUGCAGCGACGCCGCGUGCGGGAUGACGGCCUUCGGGUUGUAAACCGCUUUCAGCAAGGAAGAAGCUUUUUGUGACGGUACUUGCAGAAGAAGCGCCGGCUAACUACGUGCCAGCAGCCGCGGUAAUACGUAGGGCGCGAGCGUUAUCCGGAAUUAUUGGGCGUAAAGAGCUCGUAGGCGGUUUGCCACGUCUGCUGUGAAAGCCCGGGGCUCAACCUCGGGUGUGCAGUGGGUACGGGUAGGCUGGAGUGCAGUAGGGGAGACUGGAAUUCCUGGUGUAGCGGUGAAAUGCGCAGAUAUCAGGAGGAACACCGAUGGCGAAGGCAGGUCUCUGGGCUGUUACUGACGCUGAGGAGCGAAAGCAUGGGGAGCGAACAGGAUUAGAUACCCUGGUAGUCCAUGCCGUAAACGUUGGGCACUAGGUGUGGGGGACAUUCCACGUUUUCCGCGCCGUAGCUAACGCAUUAAGUGCCCCGCCUGGGGAGUACGGCCGCAAGGCUAAAACUCAAAGGAAUUGACGGGGGCCCGCACAAGCGGCGGAGCAUGCGGAUUAAUUCGAUGCAACGCGAAGAACCUUACCAAGGCUUGACAUGGACCGGAUCGCUG
rnacentral:rRNA from 1 species